rnacentral:tRNA from 1 species
GCUGGCGUAGCUCAACAGGUAGAGCAGCUGAUUUGUAAUCAGCAGGUCGCGGGUUCGAAUCCCAUCGCCAGCUCCA